UUGAAUGCAAGGUCGAACGGGAUAUUUUUGUAGCAAUACCGGAAUAUUCAGUGGCGAACGGGUGCGUAACACGUGGGUAACAUGCCGGGAAGAGGAGAAUAGCCCAGGGAAACUUGGAUUAAUGCUCCAUGUGGUCGCAAGACUAAAGACGGGGUAACCUGUCGCUUCCUGAUUGGCCCGCGGCCUAUCAGCUAGUUGGUGAGGUAAAGGCUCACCAAGGCAACGACGGGUAGCUGGUCUGAGAGGAUGACCAGCCACACUGGAACUGAGACACGGUCCAGACACCUACGGGUGGCAGCAGUCGAGAAUCUUUCACAAUGGGGGCAACCCUGAUGGAGCGACGCCGCGUGGAGGAUAAGGUCUUCGGAUUGUAAACUCCUGUCAUGCGAGAGUAAGGCCCAUGCGUUAACUGCGUGUGGGAUUGACAGUACCGCAAGAGGAAGAGACGGCUAACUCUGUGCCAGCAGCCGCGGUAAUACAGAGGUCUCAAGCGUUGUUCGGAAUUACUGGGCGUAAAGGGUGCGUAGGCUGCGCAGAAAGUCAGAUGUGAAAUCCGGGGGCUCAACCUCCGAAUUGCAUCCGAUACUCCUGUGCUAGAGGACUGGAGAGGAGCUUGGAAUUCUCGGUGUAGCAGUGAAAUGCGUAGAGAUCGAGAGGAACACUAGUGGCGAAGGCUGGGCUCUGGACAGUAUCUGACGCUGAGGCACGAAGGUCAGGGGAGCAAACGGGAUUAGAUACCCCGGUAGUCCUGACAGUAAACGGUGCACGCUUGGUGUGGGAAGUGACCCUUUCCGUGCCGAAGCUAACGCGAUAAGCGUGCCGCCUGGGAAGUACGAUCGCAAGAUUAAAACUCAUAGAAAUUGACGGGGACCCGCACAAGCGGUGGAGUAUGUGGCUUAAUUCGAUGCAACGCGAAGAACCUUACCUGGCCUUGACAUGCAUUGUGUCGUCGGUGAAAGCCGGCUAAGGUAGCAAUACACGCUUUGCACAGGUGCUGCAUGGCUGUCAGCAGCUCGUGUCGGGAAAUGUUGGGUUAAGUCCCGCAACGAGCGCAACCCCUGUAGUCCGUUGCCACCGGUGUAUGCCAGA
rnacentral:rRNA from 1 species